GGUGAAAAGAACCCCGGAAGGGGAGUGAAAUAGUUCUUGAAACCGUGUGCUUACAAGAAGUUCGAGGCCGUUAAUGGCUGAGAGCGUGCUUUUUGUAGAAUGAACCGGAGAGUUACGAUUGCGUGCAAGGUUAAGGUGCAAAGACUGGAGCCGUAGCGAAAGCGAGUCUUAAUAGGGCGAAUCAGUACGUAGUUGUAGACCCGAAACMGAGUGACCUAUCCAUGGUCAGGUUGAAGGUGGGGUAAUACCUACUGGAGGACCGAACAAGUGGGUGUUAAAAAACCCUUUGAUGAACUGUGGAUAGCGGUGAAAUUCCAAUCGAACUCGGAGAUAGCUGGUUCUAUCCGAAAUACAUUUAGGUGUAGCCUUGCAAUUAGCUUACUGGAGGUAGAGCACUAUUUGGUCUAGGGGCCCUUCAAGGGUUACCAAAAUCAGAUAAACUCCGAAUGCCAGCUAAGUAUGUGCAGGAGUCAGACGGUGAGUGAUAAGAUCCAUCGUCAAAAGGGGAACAGCCCAGAUCACCAGUUAAGGUCCCUAAAUAUAUGCUAAGUGGAAAACGUUGUGAAGGUGCAUAGACAACUAGGAGGUUGGCUCAGAAGCAGCCACCCUUUAAAGAGUGCGUAAUAGCUCACUAGUCGAGUGCUCUUGCGCGGAUAAUGUACCGGGGCUAAGCAUAUUACCGAAACUGUGGAUGCGUAAGCAUGGUAGGAUAGCGUAAUUAACGCGAUGAAGGAUGACCGUAAGGACAUGUUGGAGCGUUAACUAGUGAGAAUUCCGGUAUGAGUAGCGAAAGAUAGGUGAGAAUCCUAUCCACCGAAUGAGUAAGGUUUCCCCCGGAAGGCUCGUCCGCGGGGGGUUAGUCGGGACCUAAGGCGAGGCUGAAAAGCGUAGUCGAUGGACAACAGGUUGAUAUUCCUGUACCGAUAUUUAAUUGCCGAAGGAAGGACGCAGAAGGAUAACACAGGCCACUAUUGGAUGUGGUUUUAAACAGUUAGUCUUCAUAAGAGUCAAAUGCUUUUAUGUUUAAGGAUAAGCUGUGAA
rnacentral:rRNA from 1 species